CUCUCUCUCUCUCUCUCUCUCUCUCUCUAACACACACACACACACACAUACACACACAUGUACGCGUAUAAAAAUGAUGGAUGAGUCUGUUGAUGUCGGCGAAAGCGGAAAAAAAAAUAAAAUAAAUAAAAUAAUAAUAAUAAUAAUAAUAAUAAUAAUAAUAAUAAUAAUAAUAAUAAUAAUAAUAAUAAUAAUAAUAAUAAUUGGGUGGGCUGGACAUAGCUCGUACGCGGUCACAACACGUACAGAGGCCGUCUUGUCGAAGCAAAAAAUCGAGCAUAGUCUCCCUUACAACAGUAGAAAGAAAAUGGGACCCGAACAGCUGACGCAGCCAUCCUGAAAAUGCUUGGCGAGUUUUCUAAUUUUCCAGUCUAAUGCAAUUUUCUCGCCUCAAAGCAUAGUCUGUGGUGAUUGCGAAUGUCUUAACUUUGCUGGUGAAGGUUUCCAUGGGUAGGCGGUGGCUGAGUGGUAGUGUGCUGGGCCCACAUUCACUGCAUGACAGACGACGCGGGUUCGAAUCCCCGCGCUACCAACUGGGGUUUUUCAGUCAUCGCCGAGUGGCUUAAAACUACCCACAUGCUGCCCUGAAGACCACCCUUCGACCCGGACUCUAGAGGGCGGUGGCUGAGUGGUAGAGUGCUGGGCCCACAUUUACCGCGUGAUGGACAAUGCUGGUUUGAAUCCCGCGCUACCAACUGGGGUUUUUCAGUCAUCGCCGAGUGGCUUAAAACUACCCACAUGCUGCCCUGAAGACCACCCUUCGACCCGGACUCUAGAGGAAACCGUCCAAGUGAAUCAAGAAGGAGUUCCGGGGGGCAGCAUGAGCCAGGAGAAGAUGGCGCCACUAUAAACACUUGCCUGCGCCAUGACGGGCUGGGGCCAACUACCAUCCAGGACCCUCGAACAAGCCUCCCUGUGCUAUAGGCCUACACGUAAAAAAAAUAUAUAUUAAAAAGAUAUUGUUGUACUGAGGUUUUGUGUUCGUGGGAGUCCUGUAAACAAACAUGUGGAUUGUUGUGGAGUUAUUAGUGGAAGCAAAAUUUUAUCGUAGAGCCUGGAGGUUAUAUCUGACAAACAUGUGGAUUGUUGUGGAGUUAUUAGUGGAAGCAAAAUUUUAUCGUAGAGCCUGGAGGUUAUAUCUGAC